UGGGUGCAAGACAGGAGCUGUGCAGCAGAAGACCAGCAAGUUCUUGAAGACCUUCAACCAGGUAAAAUGUUGAGGGGAAACUGUUGUCACCUUAUGCUCAUAAGACAGUGUGCAACAUGCACAUGCAGCAGUUUGCAUAGGGGCAGGACAGAGAAACAAGUUCAAUUUCAAGCUUCCCUGUUAUUUUUCUGUUAUUUCUCUUAAGUAAAGGCUACACUGCACGUCAUAAUGGUUAGUCACAAGUAGAUAUUAGUGUAUGGUUAUGCACAUUAUGAUUGGAUUAUUUAAUGUUUAUUUGACUAUUUGAUGUGUCGAUGUUAACACUGAUCCGCAAAAAUUUAAACAGAUUGAAGAAAUAUCGUACAUGUAACUGCAGCUAUUUUUUGCAGACUGUUGACAUCAACACCCGAAAAGAGAACCUCCUAAAAUCCUUGAUCCUCUACUUUGGUGAAGAUUUUGAAUGCCUCUUCAAAGAAUACCUAUUAAAUGUUAAUUAUGUUUAUAUAGACUGAGCUCAUCAUACUACUGGCCACAUUUUGAAGUUGGGUGCAUAUUCCUUGCCUGGUAAAAUCAUUAUGAUCGCAGGCCUCAAAUUUCUGCCAUUGUUUUCAAUAUGGCAACAAACGGUAAAGCUGCCUUUUGUUUAUAAGUUGUUAUUGAUCAGCUUGGGAAAUGCUGGGAAACGGGGAAUUUUUGCAGAGUUUAGCAGGCAACAUUGAAGCUAAAGACUAUGGUAAUGCUAACUCAUACUUUUCCAUAAUUACAGGAUGUGAGCAGAGUUAAAGCUGAAAUUGAACUGGAGCAGCAGUCCAUGGUGAUUUUUGUCAUCUGCUCAGAAGGUGACCCUGAUGCUUCAACUGCAGACAUACAAU